AGCGAAGCUCGGGAGCGGUGGACAACAUAGAAGUGCAAACUGGAGUAACGGGAAAAGAAAUGAUGCUGAGUUCCUCCAUGAUUGUCUGUGCUUUAUUCUGGAUUUCCAGCAUCUAGAGAAUCCCCUGUACAUAAAACUUUCCUACUCUUUUGCUGAAUGCCCCGACCAUUGAAGAUGCAAUGCCUGACCCGCCGUGCCUGGUUUUAUUUCGGAUGUCCCGCAUCAGCAGCUGUUUUUGAUAGCUCUUAUCUCGGGAUACAGUGACUGGGGACAUCCUCUCUCCCCUGAUUGCACUCAGCGCAGCUGCAGGUGGUUCCUCCCCCUCCCCCCUCCCUCCCCGCGCCGCAUUUCGCUCCCCACCCUCAUCGGCCCUAUCCACUCCUUCCCCAUUUCUCUGCUCACCGCCCGGCACUUGCCUCUCUGUUCCUCUCUUUCUCUUUCUCUCUAAAUCCCACCCUUUACAAAUUUCUCUACAACUUCUUUCUUUCUGCCCCUCAAAGCCGACCCCCCCCACACCCCAUGGUCCCCUCCUUUCCUCUGUUCUACUGUCCCCACUCCCCGUCUCCCUCCAUCCCGAUACGCUGGGGCAGCAAUCUGCGGGAGGAACUCGGCGGGUCUGGCAUCACCUCUGUGUGUGUCAGAGGGGGUGGGAAGAGAUGGUCCUGAUUUGUCCCGAUCCGGUCUCGAUCCGAAACGUGCGGACGAUCUCUCUCCCCUCUCCCGCCACAGACGCUGCUCGACCCGCUGAGUUUCUCUGGAUUGCAGUAUGUGCGGUUUCCGGUGGGUUUUUUUUGCGGGGGAUUUAUUGAUCCUUGUAGAGCCGGUCUGAUUUUUCCGAGUCCCCGUUUUAUGCCCCGGCGCUGCUACCUACCCUCGGCGACCAUGCAGAGAUACCGUGUGAAACAGGCCCUUCCGGCCCGACGAGCCUCACCGCCCAGCAACCCACCUGUUUAACCCAGGACAAUUGACAAUGACCAAUCAAGCUAAUAACCCGCAUGCUUUUGGGGGAAACUGGAGCAGCUAGUACAAAACUCCUUACAGAGGACGCUGUGCGUAGCAUCUGCGCAUUGUUGUGAUACCUCUGAAGGCAGCAUUUAAUACCUGCCUGACAUGUACUGCACGCUGUGUCUGUACAAAGGUUUUCAUUAAUACCAAGGGUAGUACCUGUUCUAUCAAAGUCUGUGCAAGCAGAGAGCUGUUCACUCCUGUGGACUCAUACGUCUAUACGGAAUAUUGAACAGCCCUUAGGCAUAUUCCAAAUGUGUUGAACAUAUAUUUUUGACAUGUCAUGCUCACAUCACCACCUUUUUACAUUAUUUCGACAUGUGUUAUGGGGCUGGAGCCAUUCGCCCUAUCAGGCCUAUGCUGGACACCAAUAAAUCCCAUUCCCUAUAAUUUCCCCUGUAACCUCUCUCCGCUUUCUGAUAACGCACCUCUCUCAUCAGAUUCUAACACUAGGAGGCAAUUUACAGCGGACAAUUAACCUAUUGACUCGCGCAUGUUUGGGAUAUGGGAGGACGAUGUGAGGGCACCCCUCAAGAGGAUGAACUCACGGAAGGCAUCCAGCCCAGAUGGGAUACCUGGCCAACUGCUAAAAGCCGAUAAACUGGCUGGAGUGUUCACUGAAACCUUUAACCUCUCGCUUCGGCAGUCUGAGGUACCUACCUGCUGCAAGCAUGCUUCAUGUAUGUAUACCGGUAUUCAAGAAGGACCUGUGACCUACCUCAAUGGCUAUCGUCCAGUUGCAAUUAUAUCCACAAUGAUGAACUGUUUUAAGAGGUUGGUGAUAAAACAUAUCAACUCCUGCCUGAAAAGCGACUCAGAUCCGCUCCAAUUUGCAUACCGAAGCAACAGAUCUACAGCAACAGGCCCACAGCAGAUGCCAUCUCAUAGGCUCUUCACUCAGCCUUAGAACAUCUGGACAGCAAAGAUCGGGAUGCUCUUUAUCGACCACUGGUCAGCAUUCAAAACCGUCAUCCCCUCAAAACUAAUCAAUGAGUUCCCAGACCUUGGCUUCAUUACCUCCUUGUGCAAUUGGAUCCUUGAUUUGCUCACUUGCAGACCCCAGCGAGUUUGAAUUGGCAGCAGUAUUGCCUCCAUGAUCACCACAAGUCUCUGCUCUACUCGCUUUACACUUAUGACUGUGUGGCUAAGCACAGUUCCAGCGCCAUAUUCAAGUUUGCUGACAGCAGCACUGUUGUAGGCUGAAUCAAAGUUGGUGAUGGAUUAGCAUAUAGGAGGGAGAUUGAAAAUCUAACUGAGUGGUGCCAUAACAAUAACCUCUUACUCAAUGUUGGCAAGACCAAGAGCUCAUUAUUGACUCAGGCAAAGGAAACCAGGUAUCCAUGUGCCAGUCCUCAUUGGAGGAUCAGGGGUGGAGAGGGUCAACAACUUUUACCUUUCUCAGUCUUAGCUUGGGGGACCUUUCCCAGGACCAACACUUAAAUGCAAAUAGGAAGAAAAUAUGCAACACCUCCACUUCCUCAGGAGUUUGUGAAGAUUCAGCAUGACAUCUAAAACAUUGACAGACUUCUAUAGAUGUGUAGUGAGUAGGGAGUAUGUUGACGAGCUGUAUCACAGCCUGGUAUGGAAACACCAAUGCCCUUGAAUGGAAACUUUGACAAAAAGUAGUGGAAACAGUCCAUCACAGGUAAAGCCCUUCCCACCAUUGAGCACAUCUACAUGAAAUGCUGUUGCAGGAAAGCAGCAUCCAUCAACAGGGACCACCACUACUCAGAACAUCUUUCUGAUGCUGUCAUCAGGAAGAAGGUACAGGAGCCUCAGGACUCAGACCACCACGUUCAGAAACAAUUACCCCCUCAACCACCAGGCUCAUGAACCAAAGGAAAUAUCUUCAAUCACCUUCACUUUCACAUUUCACCUUCAUUGAAAUGUUCCCACAAUCAAAGGACUCACUUCCCUGGACUCUGUUAGAGUGGAUUUCUUUUGGGUAGAUGAUUUGUUUACACUUAAAUGACUUUGGCCACCAGACUUCUAUUUUAACUGUUUGACAAAGGACUGUGGAUUGAGUCCACCACAAUGGGCUUCCUAAAAGGUGUGAAUACCAGAUGCUUCUGGUAUUUUGACCUGAUGCUGUAGUUUCGAAGGCAGUAUCACCUACACAUUAUAAAUAUUAAUUGUCUUCUAUGUUAGCACGGGAUAUGCCAAAUAAAUGUAUGGUAGACUUAACUUACAUUCCUAAAGGCUGUGGAUACCAACCCAGACAUGUUGGUGUCGGGAGGAAAGGAUGGUGUGAUGCUUCAAUAGGAAGCAUUGUCUAUGCAUUGUCUAUAACUUUUGAGUAGCGAUUGCCUUUGUGUUUAGCAUAUAAAUAUUGUGCCCACAUUGAGCUAGCAGCCCUUUCUGCGGAAAGCGUC